rnacentral:lncRNA from 1 species
AUAUAUAUGUGGGAGGGUGGAAUGAACGAUUGGGAUGGGAUGGGCAAAAUCAACGGUCAGGAUGUGAAGUUGGGAUGGGUAUAAAAGGGCGUCGAACAGAGAGAGGAAAGAAAGAAGAUGGAAAGAAGGGAAAAGGUAAAACGUAGAGUGCAUGAGAGAGAGAGGAGACAAUUGUGAGAGGCGUUAAUCAGCGGCAAGUGUGGAAGGAGAACUGCUCAGAAGUUCGGGAAUAAGUGAGGUUGCAGUAGCUUUGGGAGAUAGAGGAGUAUGGAAGCAAGAGGUAAAAGGAAUUUAAAAUUAUAAACUAAUUUAGGGCAAACCAUGGUGAAAUUGUAUGUGCAGGUUAAUGGAAAUGCUCCAUGUCAAUGAGACAAAAGUAUAGGAGUUGUGAUAGCUCAAGAAGUGUAAGAGAAGCUGAGGUAUGUGAAGGGAGAGGGAACACACUAUAGAGAGAUGUGUACGGUUUGGUAGUCGAGUGUGUGACGGAGAUAAGUGAACUUGAGGUGUUGUGGGAACAGGACAAAGCUUUUGGAUGAGAAAUUUGUGUGUACUCGAUAGGUGAGGUAAAUGUGAGAUUGGGAUACAUUAUUGUAUAAGUAUAAGUAUAGGCGAUGGGUGACUUAUGGUGGGUGUAGGUUCAGGUGUGGGGGUGUGUAAGGUUGUUUGGUCGAGGGAGACACCUUCUGUUAUGCAGGGAUGGUGGUCCGUAGUCUGUGUGUGUGUAGUUGUAAGUGGGUGGGGGUUUGUUAGGGUUUACAUGUUAUAGUGUGUAGGCUGUGGGAAAUAUAUGGUGUGUGUAUGUAUAUGUACUUGGGUGUGGGAGGCCUAUUGGCCAGUGUUUAUAGAUUCUGAUAUGUUGGUGUGGCAAUUAGUGGCAUACUGUGUGUGUGUGUGUGUAAAUUCUUUGGCCGAUGCUUGUAGAUAUGGAUGUGCCGAUGUGAUGAGUAGUGACAUGUUGUAUUUAUGGCCACUUGGCGGUUGAUAGAGCACUCACAUUGUUAGGUGUGUGUGAGGUCAUUAACCGACAUUGGUGGAGUUCGGUGGGACCAUUCAGUGGUCGUUGUCACGAGAAUAGCGGUGUGUAUUUGAUAUUAUAGUGUGAUGGUGCACGAGGCCAUGUAAUGGCCGACAUGGUGAUUGUGGUUACUGUUGGGGUGGGGGCCCAGGAUCCAGCGAGGGGGUGUGUGUGUGGUCUUGGUGGGCCGGUAUUGGAAAGGAUGUGUGAGAGACUGGUGGGGUAGAUUGAGAGGCUGUGUGGGUGUAGCGUAGGGACUACUAAAAUUGCAUUGAAUUAGUAAGGUAUUAUGGUUAAAACAAAGGGGUAUAGUGCAUUUCUGUUAUGUAGUUUGAACAUGAAGAGGCUAACGGUAAGGGGUUAGGUGGGAUUAAGAGGGAGUAGUUUUGUCAUUUAUUGAUUAUCAAGGGAGAAAAACAUAAUGAUAGAAGUAAAGAAAUGAUAGUAGGGAAUGAGGUUAUUUAAUUGUCAUUCGUUAGUUUUUAGUUCUAAAAUUCAUCUCAUUGGGUUAUGUAUACUCAUUACUUUCAUUUUCAGAUGCUUUGAGACGAUAAUCAAAAACGGAGUGCUUAGCAACGAAGCACCGGACCUAAAAGAAAUAAGAUGUUAUCAAUUAUAAUGAGACAUAGUAGUAUACUCACUGUAUUGAAAUAUUAUUAAAACUUCUAUGUGUAUGGUGAUAGUUUGAGAGUUUCUUUAAUUAUAUAGUUUAUUAUUGUAACGAAAAUUGAUUUCUUUACGAAUUAAUGGAUAUGAGAUUUGGUUAGAGGUUCUAAAUACUUUGUUCUAGGUAGAAUGAUGAAUAAUGUAUAAUCCUAUAACAAAAAUAGUAAAAGGGUGUUACACAAUAUACUAAUUAUGUAUUUUUGAAUUGUUAUUAUUUAUUUUAUUCCGUUUUAUUAUCACGUUCUACUAUACUUAAUCUCGUCUUGAUUUAUUCGUUUCAUUUGUUAUUCAUCGUAUCGUGACAUUUAAAGUUCUGAUUAUACUAUCCUAUUUUAUCAUAUUUCUAUUUACAAAUGUAUUCUCUUACGCAUUUCGAAAUCUGAAUUUUGUACUCUGGUGUUGUUUGGGAUAUGGGCAUACGUGUUAUUAAUUUCUAAAUAAUAAUAAAAAGAAAAAGUAUGCAUAAAUUAAUGUUAUUGAAUGAAAUGACUUAUCAGGUAUCGUAUAAAAUAGUGUACAGACUUGAUACAUAGGAUAAACCCUACUGUGAAUAUUAUCUUCAGCCGUACAAGGCUAGAAAGUCCCAUACUGGA